GAUGAAGAACGUAGCGAAAUGCGAUAAUUAAUGUGAAUUGCAGAAUUCCGUGAAUCAUCGAGUCUUUGAACGCACAUUGCGCCUCAUGGCAUUCCGUGAGGCAUGUCCAUCUCAGCGUUAGAAAAUAUUCUCAAAUUUUAGUUUUGUGCUAAAAUUUGGAUCAUGUCAAAGAAGCUAUUACUAUUAUUGUGAUCGCUCUUUGGAAAUUGAUAGGUCUUUGAGUUGCUACUCAUAGAACGUGAUGAAUCUUUCUUCGUUCUAUUGUAAUUCACUCUGGUAGUCCUAAAACUUGUAUGCCUGUGGCAUAUCUUGUAAUUUGACCUGAGAUUGGGUAGGGAUACCCGCUGAACUUAAGCAUAUCAAUAAGCGGAGGA
rnacentral:misc_RNA from 1 species